CCCGCGCGCUGCUGGAGGAGCGACCCUGCUUGGCCCUCAAGAUGCUGGAGACGUUGCCCGCUGCUCUCUGACACCUGCGGUCUCUUAGUCAUGAUCUGCAGAAAAUAGCUGCUGGAGAGCUCUUCAGGGAUACUGGUGCUGCCCUCAUCAGUGCAUUUCUCAAACCCUCAGAGAAGAGAAAGUCCAAUGGAACUUCCCAGGAGACUUGGAAUGAUCUUCCUCAGCAUCAGUAAUUUCUUUAGAGAGAAUUGGGGAGAAAGACGAAGAUAUACAUCUUUAAAAGGAGAUUGUCACUACUUCUCUAAUCCAACUCUACAAAUAUACCUGACUUCAGAGUAUUCCAGCACAGGCAGAAUACACAAUUUUUAAAUCUCCCACUUUUUCUAGGGUGGAAAAAUGUAUAAGAAAGGGAAAGACAAAAGCCCUAUCAAAUGUUUAUGGUGACUUGGUUAAAGAAGGUGUCAGGCACUGUGAUAAGAGUUUGGAUGGGUGAAACGUAACCCUUUCUUUUGUAAUAUGAGAUAAGUUUGGUUGUGAGAUGGGGAGAAGGGAAAGGAAAACCAAACUAAAGCCUUGACCACAGACUUAUUCUAGGCAGAUCAAUUAUAGCAAAAAAAUAGAGUCGAGAAAAUGAAAAUGGAUUUUCUUAUUUUUUUACUGUCUACAAAGUUCUUGGAAAACUACCAUGAAUUUUUAUUAGGCACGUGUACCCAGUUGAGUCAUUGUUGGUGUAGAUGCUCAAAAAACAUUAUAAGUAGCAAUACAUUUGAGUAAAUUGAUGGCUCUGAAAAAAUAAAAUAGUUCAUGCAGAUAAUCUAAUA